CAAUAGCGUAUAUUAAAGUUGUUGCGGUUAAAAAGCUCGUAGUUGGAGUUCUGCCAGGUGCCGCCUGUCCGCCCCAGUGGUGAGUACGUGGCGCGCAUUUGGCCCUUUCAAGGGGAGCGUAUCUGCACUUUAUUGUGUGGUGCGGGAUCCUUGACUUUUACUUUGAGGAAAUAGGAGUGUUCCAAGCAGGCUCUCGUCGUGCACAGCUCAGCAUGGAAUAAUAGCAUUGGACCUCGAUUCUAAGCUGUUGGUUGCCAGAAGCGAGGUAAUGAUGAAGAGGGAUAGUUGGGGGCAUUCGUAUUUAACUGUCAGAGGUGAAAUGCUUGGAUUUGUUAAAGACGGACUACUGCGAAAGCAUCUGCCAUGGAUGUUUUCAUUGA
rnacentral:rRNA from 1 species